GUCUAGGACCAUGCCACCCUGAAUGCGUCAGAUCUUGUCUGAUCUCAGAAGCUAAGCAGGGUAGGGCCUGGUUAGUACUAGGAUGGGAGACCACCUAGGAAUACCAAGUGCUGCAGGCA
rnacentral:rRNA from 1 species